rnacentral:rRNA from 1 species
GACAGAGGGGGCAAGCGUUGCUCGGAAUCACUGGGCGUAAAGGGCGCGUAGGCGGGAUGGCAAGUCGGUCGUGAAAUCUCUCGGCUCAACCGAGAAACGUCGGCUGAUACUGCCGUUCUUGAGGGAUGCAGAGGAGACUGGAAUUCCCGGUGUAGCGGUGAAAUGUGUAGAGAUCGGGAGGAACACCGGUGGCGAAGGCGGGUCUCUGGGCAUCUCCUGACGCUGAGGCGCGAAAGCGUGGGGAGCAAACGGG